rnacentral:rRNA from 1 species
AAUGAACGCUGGCGGCAGGCCUAACACAUGCAAGUCGAACGGGCACUUCGGUGCUAGUGGCGGACGGGUGAGUAACGCGUGGGAACGUGCCCCUUGGUACGGAAUAGCCCCGGGAAACUGGGAGUAAUACCGUAUGUGGUCGAGAGACGAAAGAUUUAUCGCCAAGGGAUCGGCCCGCGUUGGAUUAGGUAGUUGGUGGGGUAAUGGCCUACCAAGCCGACGAUCCAUAGCUGGUUUGGGAGGAUGAUCAGCCACACUGGGACUGAGACACGGCCCAGACUCCUACGGGAGGCAGCAGUGGGGAAUCUUAGACAAUGGGGGAAACCCUGAUCUAGCCAUGCCGCGUGAUCGAUGAAGGCCUUAGGGUUGUAAAGAUCCUUCAGGUGGGAAGAUAAUGACUGUACCACCAGAAGAAGCCCCGGCUAACUCCGUGCCAGCAGCCGCCGUAA